AUACGGAGGGUGCGAGCGUUAAUCGGAAUUACUGGGCGUAAAGGGUGCGUAGGCGGCUUGAUAAGUCGGAUGUGAAAGCCCCGGGCUUAACCUGGGAAUUGCAUUCGAUACUGUCAGGCUAGAGUAUGUCAGAGGUUGGCGGAAUUCCUGGUGUAGCGGUGAAAUGCGUAGAUAUCAGGAGGAACACCAGUGGCGAAGGCGGCUAACUGGGGCAAUACUGACACUGAGGCACGAAAGCGUGGGGAGCAAACAGGAUUAGAAACCCUAGUAGUCC
rnacentral:rRNA from 1 species